rnacentral:rRNA from 1 species
GACGAACGCUGGCGGCGUGCCUAAUACAUGCAAGUAGGACGCAGUUGCGAACGGGAGAGUAACGCGUAGGUAACUACCUAUUAGAGGGGGAUAACUAUUGUGAACGAUAGCUAAUACCGCAUACUAGUAGAUGUACCUGCGUUGUAUUAGGUAGUAGGUAGGGUAAUGGCCUACCUAGGCAACGGUACAUAGCCGAGCUGGGGGGGUGAUCGGCCCAAAUGGGAACGGUGACCCGCCCAGAAUCCUCAGGGAGGCAGCAGUAGGGAAUCUUCGGCAAUGGGGGGAAAGCUGACCGAGCAACGCCGCGUGAGUGAAGAAGGUUUUCGGAUCGUAAAGCUCUGUUGUUAAGGAAGCGGUACUUAAACAGAAAGGGACGGCUAACUACGUGCCAGCAGCCGCGGUAAUAC